rnacentral:misc_RNA from 1 species
UCUCCGUAGGUGAACCUGCGGAGGGAUCAUUACUGAGUGAGGGUUUAACCGCCCGACCUCCAACCCUUUGUGAACCAAACUCGUUGCCUCGGGGGCGACCCUACCGUCACGGCACCGGCGCCCCCGGCGGACAUCAAACACUGCAUCCCUGCGUCGGAGCGAUCUAGUAAAUCUAAACAAAACUUUCAACAACGGAUCUCUUGGUUCUGGCAUCGAUGAAGAACGCAGC